GCCGGAGUAGCUCAGUUGGUAGAGCGCAGCUCUUGUAAAGCUGAUGUCGUGGGUUCGAGUCCCGCCUCCGGCU
rnacentral:tRNA from 1 species